AUCCGGAAUCAUUGGGCGUAAAGCGCCUGUAGGUUGUUUAAUAAGUCUGUUGUUAAAGACUAGGGCUUAACCCUAGAAAAGCAAUGGAAACUACUAGACUAGAGUAUGGCAGGGGUAGAGGGAAUUUCUAGUGUAGCGGUGAAAUGCGUAGAUAUUAGAAAGAACACCGGUGGCGAAAGCGCUCUACUGGACCAUUACUGACACUCAGAGGCGAAAGCUAGGGUAGCAAAAGGGAUUAGAUACCCCUGUAGUCCUAGCCGUAAACGAUGGAUACUAGAUGUUGUGCUUCCUGUACAGUAUCGUAGCUAACGCGUUAAGUAUCCCGCCUGGGGAGUACGCUCGCAAGGGUGAAACUCAAAGGAAUUGACGGGGGCCCGCACAAGCGGUGGAGCAUGUGGUUUAAUUCGAUGCAACGCGAAGAACCUUACCAGGACUUGACAUACUACGAAUUCUUUUGAGAAAAAGAAGUGCCUUCGGGAAUGUAGAUACAGGUGGUGCAUGGCUAUCGUCAGCUCGUGUCGUGAGAUGUUGGGUUAAGUCCCGCAACGAGCGCAACCCUUAUUUUUAGUUACUAAUUCGUUAGGUUCUCUAGAAAGACUGCCGGUGACAAACCGGAGGAAGGUGAGGAUGACGUCAAGUCAGCAUGCCCCUUAUGUCCUGGGCUACACACGUGCUACAAUGGUUAAGACAAAGAGUCGCGAGCUCGCGAGAGUCAGCUAAUCUCAUAAACUUAGCCUAAGUUCAGAUUGUAGGCUGCA
rnacentral:rRNA from 1 species